ensembl:lncRNA
CACCCCCCCUGUUUUUUUUCUCUCUCCCUCUCUGUUCCCUCGGUUUCUCCAGGCUUGAGCUGGAAAACCCAGAUGAGAGGAUGGAUACCAUCCCACCCAACCCCCCUCCUGUUCUCACUUUUCCUCCCGCCCCCCUCGUCUUCUGGCUUUUUUUUUCUCUCCCUCUCUGAGAAAACUGUGAGAGAGGGAGAAAAGCAGGGAGAAAGUGAGAGAAGUGGUGACCCCAAAGCCCCAGUAGAAGGAAGGAAGAGAGAGAGAGAGAGAGAGAGAGAGAGAGAGAGAGUGUGUGUGUGUGUGUGUGUGUUAACACAUCAGACUUUAAGGAUCUCACACAGAGAAAGCAAGUGAAAGCUGAAUGGUGGUUUGAACGUGUGUCUUCAUGCACUCAAAAAAGGAGUGUGUGUGUGCACAUGUGUGUGUGGUGUGAGUACAUAUGUCUAUCAGAGAGCGAGAGACAGACAGAGAGAGAGACAGAGAGAGAGUGUGUGUGUGUGCUGGGAAGAAGGAGGUUGGGGGGGUGGGGGGGCGCCUUGUUUGUAGCUUGUCAGCAAUUGCCUGAGACAAGCCUCCCCCUGCAUGUGUGAAAGCUACUUGGCGUGAAUGCCUGGACCGUACCAAGUGCAGGCGAAACGACAGGGGGGGACGGCGGCAAGAAAAACAGAUCAGACCGGAGACAAUAGGCCCCUCAAGUGUUCCCCCUAAGUUGCUUUGAUGUUGUCCUAGCGUCUAGAUGCUGAAGGGGACCGAGGAUCGCAGGGAAGAGAAGCCCUUUGUGUGGAUGUGUGUGUGCACUUUUUUCCUUCUACUUAUUCGACUUCUUCUUCUUCUCCUCCGGGCCGGUGUGGACAAAGGGGAGGGGGACAAAAGCUCGGGGAGAAAUAGCUGAGGAGACAAACGAUGAAAACCCGAACGGUCCUGUUCACGUUUUUGUGUCGGCUCUGCGUGUGAGAGGGGCCCGAAAAGAAAGGGAGCGAAGCGAGAGAAAGAGGAGGAGAAGCUGCAGUCUCGCAGCGGGCUGAAAGAGAGAGAGAGAGAGAGAGAGAGGGUGAGAGAGGCAGUGGUCGUGUUCAGAUGACAGAGGAGUAGGUGACUCAUCAGGGAGCUGCUCACAACUACAGAGACAGAGAAAAUGAAGCAUGGGGGUGGGGGAGUGUGAGACAGAGAGACAGACAGAAAGAGAGAGAUAGAAAGGGAGGGAAGGAGGGAGAGAGAGAGAGAGAGAGAGAGAGAGAGAGAGAGAGAGAGAGAGAGAGACAGUGAUGAAUUCAGAUCCGUCUUGCUUGACUGCUACUGUUUAUUGGUCCACAGAAGCUUCUGGAAAGACACUAAUGACUCCUCCCCCAUGAAUCAGAGACAGGGUGUGUGUUAGUUGUGUAAACGCCUGUGUAUGUGUUGUGGAUAUGGUGUGAAAGCACCUCUUGAUUGUCACAAUACCCUUUCAGGAUCUGGGCAUACAGCAAGCGUGACAAAAAAACGUCACCUUGCUUUGUUGCCACUCGUGUGUUAUUGACAUAGUGAAUCCGUCGUACUCUCUCAAACCCGACGCAGCCUUUCUUGCCGAUUUAAACCGACGGAAGUAAGCGUCGGCAAUGUAAAUCUAAAAAAAAAUCACGAUGUACAAUAUUGAUCACAAUAUUUAAUUAUUCUGCAAUGGGCCGGCAAAACAGUAGUGUAAAAAUUAUCUUCAAAAAAAAUCAUAAGUGCAUUGCUUUCUUUGUUUAAAAAUAGUAUAAAAAUAUACCGUCUAAUCAGGAACAGGAGUAAAAAUGAAACAAUUGCUAAAGCGAAAAUGCAUUUCAACAUCCAAUCAGCUGCUACUGUAAUAAUGUAAUUAAUCGAUGUUGUAUAAAUACUGAUGAUAUACUGACCAGAUUAAUGCAUUCAAACGAAUGAGGGUUGGUUGUUGUUUGAUUCCAAACUGUAAAAGGAGUCACAGGAAAAGGUGGGAAACAAACCCCUCCCCUAACCUUCAUAUGACUUACGAGUUUGUAUGAUUAGUUUGUAUUUAUCGCAGUAUCCAUAUCGUUUUACAUCGCCCAUCUCUACUUGAAAUUCACACGGAGCUCAUUUUGAUUCAUUUCGUUCUCGCUCGUAACAGUUACGCAAGAAGCUGUAUCGAUAACGCGUGUAAGGAUGUUCAUCUCGGAUCAGAUUCUACUGCGUAUAGAUCCUAAUGUGUACUCUAUAAGUGUCACACUGCUUUAGAGGCAGAUUAUUCUCAUUGAAAACAGACAGACACUGAGAAAAGAUCUCGGGAAGCAUCUCCCCUCAAUCCAACAAACCUUCGAGACUGGUCUCCCAUAGCAACGCAGCAUUAUCAGUUGUGUGCAUGUAUAUGUGUGGUGGCUGAGCUAUUAUAGUCAGGCACUUGUGAAGGCCACCCUGUCUUUAGAGCUAAUGUUCACUGUAGGGACCUUUCACAAUACCAGCCGUGUUCAACCAGCAACACCUGAGACAUGAGCCGAGCGUGUGCUGUGUACGAAAUGUGUUUGAAAUAAUUGUAUACUGAAUCAGUAUAUAAUUCUCAUAGUACUAUUCAGUAUUUACGAAUGAACAUUUAGUAUACUACACAGUCACAUGGUUCCCUGUCAUAUGUACUUGGACAGAGUGGUCAGAUUCGCUACAUGUUUUGUACCAUUGCUAUGUAUAUUUCAGCUAGAAACAUGGAUAUAGAUACACAUACAGUUGAGGUCAUAAGUUUACAUACGCCUUGCAGAAUCUGCAAAAUGUUAAUAAUAAAAAAAUUAAGAAGAAGACAUCAUGAAAAUAGAAUUUUGUGUUUUAUUAGCUCUGCCCUGAAUAAACUAUUUCACAUAACAUAUAUUUACAUAAAGUCCACAAAACACAAUAAUAACUGAAUUUACACAAUUGAACCAGUUCAGAAGUUUACACACGCUUGAUUAUUAAUACUGUGUGUCGUUACCUGGAUGAUCAGCGACUGUGUUUCUGUUCUGUGAGAGUUGUUCAUGAGUCCCUUGUUUGUCCUGAGCAGUUAAACUGCCCGCUGUUCUUCAGAAAAAAUCCUCCAGGUCCUGCACAUUCUUUACUUUUCCAGCAUCUGCAUAUUUGACACCUUUCCAACAGCGGCUGUAUGAUGUUGAGAUCCAUCUUAUUCACACUGAGGAUGACUGAGAGACUCGUACACAAUUAUUACAAAGGGUGCAAACAUUCACUGAUGCUCAAGAAAGCAACCCGAUACAUUAAGAGCCGGGGGGGGGGGGUGUAAACUUUUGAACAGGAUGAUCGGUGUAAAUUGUUAUUAUUUUGUCUUCUGAAGGGCAGUACUAAAGGGGAAAAAAAGAUCUUUCAACAAAAUAAUAACGAUUAAGUUCUUAAGAGAUGUUGUGGUAUUGACGUUUAGUAUUUAUUAGCAUUCGCCUAUUUGUUGAGGGUUAUCGAUAAUUGACAUUCAAGCGAUAGCACGUCCUCAUUAAUCCAAAGAAAAUCUAAUAGCGUGAUGGCAGAUGAUGUCUGUUUUUUGGUUUUAGACAGACGGGGGAGGGGUAAGACUCCCGUUCAGUCCCCCUCAGAACAAACAUUACCAGUGGACGCGGUUACCUCAGAAUUAGCAUAGACGCCGUCAUUUUUUUUUCACCAAAUAUUCUCAGUCACUUUGAUCCAGUUUUAAUUUUCCUUUGUUGGUUAAACCAAAAGACAGUGCAGUGAAACAGCAGUGAAAAGCUUCAGGGCAGUGAAAAUGUCAUGAAAUGUGCAAUAGUAAACGCACUAAAUGCGUAACUAGCAUAAAUAGUUUGUUUUCUGUCCUGUAUCAAUGAAGAAAUCACAGCUUAUUUAAGAGGGGUAGAGGAAAAAUCUUAUUAUUAACGACAUCUCAUUAAAUAAACUGUAUUAAUAACUGAUGUAUAGCCACAGCAAGUGGAAAGCUAACAGCAAAAAGCUAAUCAGUUGAUGCUAAUUGUUGUCAGUUAGCAUUAGUGAACAGUCUGAGGUAAAUGUUUAGGUUUGUUACACUUAGAAGAAAAACGUACCGCUGUGUGAACAUGAUCUUUACAUGUAUAGUUCCUGUUGCUUUCAUCAGCAGUUUUUCAGAUUUUGAUAUCAAAAUUAAAAUAUUAAAAUCGAGAGGCUCCUCCCACUUUUUAGACUAUAGCAUUUAGCUUACCUUACAGUCCGGGUGUGAACAGCCAAAGACCCAUUUACAAAAUAUAAUUUCUCUUGUUUAACAACAGCAACUUCCGCAAAGUGAUUUUUAUAAUGAUGGGGGCGGGGCACUUCUGAUUCUACAGAGCGUUUGAUUGGACAGAAAAAUCUGAUGAGAAGCUGAAGUGCAGAAUGAUGUCAUCAGAAUUGUUGAUCCGUAUCGGUGGUAGAGAGACACUGUAAAUCCUGAAUGCGUAUGUCUUUUAAAUACGAAUGUUGUCAUUGUUUUGGAGCGCACUAGCUUAUACAUAACCUUAAGGCUAACAUAUUCACACUAAAAGCCACAAAACUCCCAUUUUUAUUUCAUGGGGAAUUUUAAGUCCAAGGUGAAAAUUUGCUUCUGAAUAUUACCGAAGUCCAUAGGUGCUUGUAAGAGCUGAACACCGAUGUGUACACAUUCAGUAUUAAAUCCUCACUGUGUCCUUAACUGAACCCUGAAUAUGUUCAGCUAUGUACAGAA